rnacentral:tRNA from 1 species
UCCCUAGUAGCUCAGUUGGUAAAGAAUCUGCCUGCAAUGCAGGAGACCCAGGUUCGAUCCUGGGGUCGGGAA